GACGAACGCUGGUGGCGUGCCUAAUACAUGCAAGUCGAGCGGACCAAUAGAAGCUUGCUUCUGUUGGUUAGCGGCGGACGGGUGAGUAACACGUGGGCAACCUGCCUGUAAGACUGGGAUAACUUCGGGAAACCGGAGCUAAUACCGGAUAAUUCAUCCCCUCGCAUGAGGGGAUGCUGAAAGUCGGUUUACGCUGACACUUACAGAUGGGCCCGCGGCGCAUUAGCUAGUUGGUGAGGUAAUGGCUCACCAAGGCGACGAUGCGUAGCCGACCUGAGAGGGGAAUCGGCCAGACUGAGACUGAGACACGGCCCAGACUCCUACGGGAGGCAGCAGUAGGGAAUCGUCCACAAUGGACGAAAGUCUGAUGGAGCAACGCCGCGUGAGCGAUGAAGGCCUUCGGGUCGUAAAGCUCUGUUGUUAGGGAAGAACAAGUAUCGGAGUAACUGCCGGUACCUUGACGGUACCUAACCAGAAAGCCACGGCUAACUACGUGCCAGCCGCCGCGGUAA
rnacentral:rRNA from 1 species